AUGUCUGAGAGGCUCAACUACGAAGAAAACAUCGAAACGGCAGCGGCCGGCGGCGAGGACCGUGUAGGCACCUUGCCGGACCAGCUCCUGCAGACGAGCUUUCGUGGAGGCAACCUGCUCGACAGAAUGUCCAAGAGGCAUCACGACGAGGGAAACAUGGAAAGGGCGGUGGCUGGUGGCGAGGACCGCAUCAGCGCCCUCCCGGACGAACUCCUCCAGUACAUGAUGUCAUUCCUGCUUUCCCGCGACGCCGUGCGGACAUGCGUGCUCGCUAGGCGCUGGCGCAUGCUCUGGAAGUCCGUGCCCUCCCUACGCAUUGAUGAUCCCGAGAGCUACCACGGCGCUACGGGCUCCAGCUUGUUUGUCAAUGAGCUGCUUCGUCUCCGUGACCCAACGCCUCUGAAUACAUGUGACAUCCGUUCUGGUUGUCAGGAGACUGCGAACACCAAUUGGGCCAAGGAGGCAUUCCGACACAUGGAACCAUGGCUCCUGUAUGCUUUAUCCUGUCAAGUUCCAGUGCUUCGAAUUUGUUUUCCCUGGCGGGUAAUCAACAUGACUCUUGUCUCAUCGCACUUGAAGAGGUUACAUCUUUACCGCAUGCGAUUUGAGGGAUGCUCUCUGGAUUUUUCGAGCUGUCAGGUGCUACAGGUGUUAGAGAUGAAAGCUUGUCAUAUCCAUGUGAAUCUCUUGUCCCAGUCAUUACGAUUUCUUAAAAUUCACUACACGAGUUUUGGUUUUGAUCCACGCACUCGUAUUUCUGCCCCAAAUCUCAUUGGCUUCAGACUAGCUCCAUUUUACGGUUUGGCUCCUUUGCUUGAUAGCAUGCCAUCACUGGUAGCAGCAUCUAUUACACUUGGAGAAAUGUGCGAGGAAAUGUGUUACUGUGGAAAUCUAUCAUGUGGGGGAUGCGAUGCUCAAGCCGGUAACAACGACUAUCCUGUGGCUCUCCAAGGUUUGUCAGGUGCUACGAAUUUGAAGUUGACAGCAAUAUCUUAUCCGAUAAGGCUGUCUGUUUUGAGAAUGGAUUUGACAUGGCGCCCCAUGUUCAGGAAGCUAAAAAAGUUGUUGCUCAAUGAGUGGUGUGUGGCUGAUGAUUUCACUGGAUUGAUUUACUUUCUCCAGCACUCACCCAUUCUAGAGACACUGAUACUAAAGCUUGAUUUGCAAACUUCUGAGGAUUAUCAUUUGAACGAAAUUGAUGGAAGUUGUAACUCAAGGGAACAAUCAUUGCUAUCACAACAUCUCAAGGUAGUCAAAAUUAUAUGUGGCACGCAGGAAGAUGUGAUAGUUCACCGUAUUUCAAAGAUCCUAUGUGCCCAUGGAGUACCUUCUGAGCAAAUUCAGAUAGAAUAG
rnacentral:rRNA from 1 species